rnacentral:rRNA from 1 species
AGAGUUUGAUCAUGGCUCAGAUUGAACGCUGGCGGCAGGCCUAACACAUGCAAGUCGAGCGGAUGAGUGGAGCUUGCUCCAUGAUUCAGCGGCGGACGGGUGAGUAAUGCCUAGGAAUCUGCCUGGUAGUGGGGGACAACGUUUCGAAAGGAACGCUAAUACCGCAUACGUCCUACGGGAGAAAGCAGGGGACCUUCGGGCCUUGCGCUAUCAGAUGAGCCUAGGUCGGAUUAGCUAGUAGGUGAGGUAAUGGCUCACCUAGGCGACGAUCCGUAACUGGUCUGAGAGGAUGAUCAGUCACACUGGAACUGAGACACGGUCCAGACUCCUACGGGAGGCAGCAGUGGGGAAUAUUGGACAAUGGGCGAAAGCCUGAUCCAGCCAUGCCGCGUGUGUGAAGAAGGUCUUCGGAUUGUAAAGCACUUUAAGUUGGGAGGAAGGGCAGUAAGUUAAUACCUUGCUGUUUUGACGUUACCAACAGAAUAAGCACCGGCUAACUUCGUGCCAGCAGCCGCGGUAAUACGAAGGGUGCAAGCGUUAAUCGGAAUUACUGGGCGUAAAGCGUGCGCAGGCGGUUAUAUAAGACAGAUGUGAAAUCCCCGGGCUCAACCUGGGAACUGCAUUUGUGACUGUAUAGCUAGAGUACGGCAGAGGGGGAUGGAAUUCCGCGUGUAGCAGUGAAAUGCGUAGAUAUGCGGAGGAACACCGAUGGCGAAGGCAAUCCCCUGGGCCUGCACUGACGCUCAUGCACGAAAGCGUGGGGAGCAAACAGGAUUAGAUACCCUGGUAGUCCACGCCCUAAACGAUGUCAACU